rnacentral:misc_RNA from 1 species
GAUGAAGAACGCAGCAAAAUGCGACAAGUAAUGUGAAUUGCAGAAUUCAGUGAAUCAUCGAAUCUUUGAACGCACAUUGCGCCCGCCAGUAUUCUGGCGGGCAUGCCUGUUCGAGCGUCAUUUCAACCCUCAAGCACAGCUUGGUGUUGGGACUCGCGUUAAUUCGCGUUCCCCAAAUUGAUUGGCGGUCACGUCGAGCUUCCAUAGCGUAGUAGUAAAACCCUCGUUACUGGUAAUCGUCGCGGCCACGCCGUUAAACCCCAACUUCUGAAUGUUGACCUCGGAUCAGGUAGGAAUACCCGCUGAACUUAAGCAUAUCAAUAAGCGGAGGA